UUUCAGUCCAGUGUUUAUAGAGGGUAGAUACCUUCCAGCUGACCUUGUGGUUCUAGAUUUGACGGAUUUUGAUGUCAUUCUAGGGAUGGAUUGGUUAUCUACAUAUAGUGCUACGUUGGACUGUAGAGAGAAGAUAGUGAGUCUCAGAGACCAGGAUGGGUCAGAGUGUGUCUUUAGAGGAGACAGGAGAGGUACACCCAGAGGCAUGAUUUCAGCCCUUCAGGCUCGUCGUUUGCUUAGGAGGGGUUGUCAGGG
rnacentral:lncRNA from 1 species